GCUGGGUGUGGUGGUACACACCUGUAAUCCCAGUAGCUCAGGAGGCUGAGGCAGGAGGAUCAUGAGUUCAAACCCAGACUUAGCAAAAGCGGAGUGCUAAGCAACUCAGUGAGACCCUGUCUCUA
rnacentral:sRNA from 1 species